UACGUAGGGGGCAAGCGUUGUCCGGAAUCAUUGGGCGUAAAGAGCGCGUAGGCGGCCCAGUAAGUCCGCUCUGAAAGUCAGGGGCUCAACCCCUGAAUGCGGGUGGAUACUGCUGGGCUAGAGUCCGGAAGAGGCGAGUGGAAUUCCUGGUGUAGCGGUGAAAUGCGCAGAUAUCAGGAGGAACACCGAUGGCGAAGGCACGCGUCGCUGGGACGGUGACUGACGCUGAGGCGCGAAAGCGUGGGGAGCAAACAGG
rnacentral:rRNA from 1 species